UACGGAGGAUCCAAGCGUUUAUCCGGAAUCAUUGGGUUUAAAGGGUCCGUAGGCGGUCUUAUAAGUCAGUGGUGAAAUCUCCCCGCUCAACGGGGAAACGGCCAUUGAUACUGUAGGACUUGAAUUAUUAGGAAGUAACUAGAAUAUGUAGUGUAGCGGUGAAAUGCUUAGAGAUUACAUGGAAUACCAAUUGCGAAGGCAGGUUACUACUAAUGGAUUGACGCUGAUGGACGAAAGCGUGGGUAGCGAACAGG
rnacentral:rRNA from 1 species